rnacentral:lncRNA from 1 species
AUAUGCACACGUUACAUGUGCCAACACUAAUAUUGAGGUAAAAAAUUAUCUAGAGUUCCAGUUUAAUAUUUAUCAUCUUGCUUUACUUUCAAAGUUCAUACUUCAAGUAUUUUGGAUGUUUCAAUGUUGAGUGAAAAUUUGGAUUGACUCUUGACAUAUCUUUCAUUUCAAUAUUUUUGGUACUUGUGUGAUGUGAAAAUAACAUUGCUACCACUUGGAAUCCAUUUGUUGUGGGCAAUAAUCGUAUUUUGGUUGAACUCUUGCUAGACAGUUGACAGCAUAUCUAUGGUUUUAAUGUUUUGUUAUGCUCGAAUAUGGAGUGAAAUAAUUUUCAAUAAUACCUAUUUACUUAAAGGUGAAAAGUAGAUUUCUCAAUAGUUCAUCUAUCGACAGUUCACUAAUGUAGAGAAAUGUCAUCGCGCCUAACUGUCGUUCCCGACAGUUAGCCUCAGUAAUUCUCGACAAAUGAAUUGUCGAGAACGAUAGUUCAGUCCUUCCCUCUUCUCAGUUCCACAAGUCAAACUUUGGUUCAUUCUAACAUUACAUGAGUGUUUUGCAUAAACAUAUAUGAAAUGCUAUUAUUUCAUGAUUUUUUGAUUAAUUUGUUCGUAUGUGGUUAGAUUUUUUCUAUCCGAACAUCUCACAUGUGACUGAUUUGUCCAUAUGUGGUUAUAUUUUUGUACUUCACGUUUUUAUUUAUAUAACAAUAUCACCACCGUCACGAUUCAUUCUUCAUAAUUUUUGGAUCACAUGCAAUUCAAUCUAUUUUUGUGGAAGUUGCUUGUUUGAAUUCAGAUUACGAUAGAUUGCAUGAAUCAAUUGAGUUAUAUUAUGUACUAUGAUCAGAUUGUUUUUGCACAUAAGGUGAACGUUAUUACAUUUUCUGUAUGUUCACAUAUGAGCAGACUCAUACUCAUGACUUGAAUGAUCCUCAAAGUGUUGGUGCACACAUUCUUGCUAUAAUUGGAGGUGGAACCAAUCGAUUUCGUUGUCAAAGAAAGAGCAAUCUUCACAAUGGUCUACUUCUGAAAACUACGGCAACUACACGGAAGAACAUUUUGUUUUCUAUUUAUGUAUAUAAUUUUGCAUUAGUUGGUUCUAUUUAUGUGAUAUUGAUAGAGGAAACUGUUUGUGUUUCGUACAAAAAAUGUUUAUCGUAAGGAAUAGUAGAUAGUAAAGAGUAGUUGAUUGCUUUUUUAAAUAGGGUCAUGGAGCUACUCCACAGUACAAAAC